rnacentral:RNase_P_RNA from 1 species
GCAGAAGUGCGGAUGGUCGCUUCACGCCGGGAGCGUGAAGAGGAAAGUCCGGGCAACACAGAGCGACAUAUUUUCUAACGGAAAGCCGGAGGCGACUUCGGGGAUUAAUGUGACAGAAAACAACCGCCUCCCUUGCUUAGCGCCGAUGAGGCGCAGGAGUAUGGCAGGUAAGGGUGAAAAGGUGGAGUAAGAGCCCACCGGUCUUCAUGGCGACAUGAAGAGCCGCACAUCCUAUGCGUUGCAAGGCCAAGUAUACCGGCGAUUAAGGAUUGCUCGUCCUUGCCGGAGGGUAGGCCGCUAAAGUAGGCGGGCAACCGUCGGACUCAGAUAAAUGACCAUCGGCCGAGGAUUAAAUUCCACGGCUACAUAACCCGGCUUAUAACACUUCUGCCCUA